UUGAAAGGCAAUACGAAAACGGCUUGUUGUUGAAUUGUCUGGGUGUUUUACUGUUCAGAGUUCGUGCUGUGCUUUAUUAAUAAUAGAAGCAACACAAAAACAAUAUUAAAAAUGCUGUGAAACGUCAGAUAACGUAUUUAUUCUUGUGCCAUGAGAUAAAGGCCGACGUUUAAAAUAGUUAAAGGUAUACCGAAGAGCUCACAAAGAUAUUUCUGAGAAGACUAUUGCCCAUGUGUGUGAAGAUCAUUUUAAUCUGGAAGAAGAUAUGGAUAACUAUGUUAAAUUCAAGGUGAAAAAAAUGAAGGCCAAUGUACUUGUAACUUUCAUCCAUCCUACUGCAGAGUCUCCAUAAGACUACCUUUCCGAUCGUUAAAUAAUGUUUUUUUGUACUUACCUUUGUUAUUAUUUGUAAAUAAUGAUAUAUUUAAUCAUUAAUGCCCUGGUUUUCAUCAAUACCAAAUCACUGUUUAUGAUGUUUAGUUUUUAUUAGGAUGGAAACAAUAUUUUCUGAUUUUUUGUUGAAUCACUUACAUUUUGAUUCAUAGGUACUGUUUGAAUUUUGAAAAUUAGAGCCAUUAGAACCCCAAUCUAACAUUUUAUCGAUUUAUAUAAGUAAAACUAUUGACUAUUUUGUCUAUAAAUCUACCUGUUUACUUUAACACCGCGAACUUCAGCAAGAGUCAAACUUUCGGUGUUCUUAUUUUAAGAUGCCACCAUAAACAUGUCCACUAGUGGUAAAAUGUCAGAUUGUUCUUUUACAAAACCUGCGCUAGUCAUUUUGAAAAAUUUUCUUUUUCUUCUAAUACUAUAUAGAAACGUUUUGCAGCCGGCGCGGCCACGAGCCGCUUGACGUCACAACUAGUCCCAGCCAAUGACGGCGCGUUACAAGAAUGAUUUGAAUUAUACAGGUUUUAAUUGCUUAUAUUAAUUACAUAGAAAGAAAAAAUUAGUUUUUU